CCUACGGGUGGCAGCAGUGAGGAAUAUUGGUCAAUGGACGGAAGCCUGAACCAGCCAUGCCGCGUGCAGGAAGACGGCUCUAUGAGUUGUAAACUGCUUUUGUACAAGGGUAAAACUCCAUACGUGUAUUCAGCUGAAAGUACUGUACGAAUAAGGAUCGGCUAACUCCGUGCCAGCAGCCGCGGUAAUACGGAGGAUCCAAGCGUUAUCCGGAUUUAUUGGGUUUAAAGGGUGCGUAGGCGGAUUGACAAGUUAGAGGUGAAAUGUCCGAGCUUAACUCGGGAACUGCCUCUAAUACUGGUGAUCUAGAGAGUAGGUGAGGUAGGCGGAAUGUAUGGUGUAGCGGUGAAAUGCUUAGAGAUCAUACAGAACACCGAUUGCGAAGGCAGCUUACCAAUCUAUAACUGACGUUGAGGCACGAAAGCGAGGGGAGCAAACAGGAUUAGAUACCCGGGUAGUC
rnacentral:rRNA from 1 species